rnacentral:rRNA from 1 species
AAUGUACGUUGGCGGCGUGGAUUAGGCAUGCAAGUCGAGCGAGAAAGGUUUGGUAGCUUGCUAUUGAACCUGGACAGCGGCGAAAGGGAGAGUAACGCGUAGUUACGUGCCCCAGGGUUCGGAAUAGCCACGGGAAACUGUGGGUAAUGCCGAAUAACAUCUACGGAUCAAAGGUGUGAUUCCGCCCUGGGAGCGGACUGCGUCCUACUAGCUAGUGGGCGGGGUAAUGGCCCACCAAGGCAACAAUGGGUAGCGAGUGUGAGAGCAUGACCCGUCUCACUGGGACUGAGACACUGCCCAGACACCUACGGGUGGCUGCAGUCGAGAAUCUUCGGCAAUGGGCGAAAGCCUGACCGAGCGACGCCGCGUGCGGGAUGAAGGCCCUCGGGUUGUAAACCGCUGUCGUAGGGGAGGAAGGCUCCGUGAAGAACGGGGUUUGACCUAUCCUAGGAGGAAGUACGGGCUAAGUUCGUGCCAGCAGCCGCAGUAACAC